GUUGAGUUAUGCCUCAUCCCCAGCGGUUGAUGCGGAUCUACCACAGGCGCAGGUUUCGUCCCAGCCCAUCUUCGAGGCCACUACAUGCUUUGAUGAGGACACCACGGAUGCAUAUACUCAGGCGGCGGACGAGACCACGGUUGCUGACGGCCCG